GGCCGGUUUGGUGUUAGGUAGAACGUGAAGAUUUGACGAGAUGGGCAUAUGACACACAAAUAGAGAAUUGGGUGAAGUAGCACCUUUUUUUAAAGUAAUUUUUAAUUAAUAUUUUUUUUAAAAAAAUUAAUAAGGUCAAUGAAAAAUUGAUUAAAUAAUGACGUAAUCGCGAAGAUCUUAUCCUUAAUAGAUUAAAUUGUAUCUUCAUCACUUAUUAUAUAUAAAAAAUAAAGAAAAAUAAAAAAAAAUCAUAUAUGAAAGAAUUCUUGUUUAGAUUCAUAAGAAAGCGUGUAUAAGUGACUUUCUCCAGCAUUAAUUAAUUAAAAUGCGAAAGGACGAAGGAAGAAGACGGAAGACACUGUCGCAGAGGAAGAAGAGAGAGAGAGAGAGACAGAGACAGAGAGAGAGAGAUCGUUUGAGGUAUGCAUCUAUGGCCAUCUUUACGGAUCCGGGACUCGUUCAAGCAAGCCUACCUCGACAAGAUCGAGCGCAACCUCCACCGCAUGCAGCAGCACAAGCAGCGGCUGCGAGGGGAGCGAUCCAGUGAUCCCCUCCUUGCCAACAGCUCCUCCGAUGGCGACGCCGGGAGCAGCUCCUCCAAAGACCGGCAGCAGCACGAGACCCUUUCGCCUCUGCGCUUCUGCAGCGACAUCCUAUUCGUUCUGUCCUGCUGUUGCUGCUGCUUCUGCUGUGGAGCUUGCAUCGACGAGAAGGAGAACCAAACUCCACAUUGAGAAGAGCAUUCAUUCAAGGAGUUUGUAAGGUAUCUAAGAAGUCGGAUGCCCGCUUUGGACUUCUAUGCUUUACGCAGUCGAUGCAAUGCUAUACUCGUUUAUAGUUUUGUAGAAUGAUUAAUACUCAGAAGUUUCCUAUUUUUCCUUGUAGUUUUAGAUAAAAUAUUGUUGUUGAUAAUUGUGCUUUUUUUUCUGCUUGGUAGAGUUCGUGUUUAUUGGGCAUGAAUUGACUAAUAUUUUUUCUUUAAUUUUCUUAAUGUUUAAGAAUUGAUUGGCUUCUUCA